rnacentral:ncRNA from 1 species
GCACAAGGUAGAGGCCAAGAACCCCGCCCCUACGGAAGACGGGCACCCUUCGGGGGCGUGGGGAGCCAGUGGUGCGACCGGCUACCUUCUAU